rnacentral:rRNA from 1 species
GAUGAACGCUGGCGGCGUGCCUAAUACAUGCAAGUCGAGCGAACGGACGAGAAGCUUGCUUCUCUGAUGUUAGCGGCGGACGGGUGAGUAACACGUGGAUAACCUACCUAUAAGACUGGGAUAACUUCGGGAAACCGGAGCUAAUACCGGAUGAUAUUUUGAACCGCAUGGUUCAAAAGUGAAAGACGGUCUUGCUGUCACUUAUAGAUGGAUCCGCGCUGCAUUAGCUAGUUGGUAAGGUAACGGCUUACGAAGGCAAGGAUGCAUAGCCGACCUGAGAGGGUGGUCGGCGACAUUGGAACUGAGACACGGUCCAGACUCCUACGGGAGGCAGCAGUAGGCAAUCUUCCGCAAUAGGCGAGAGCCUUACGGAGCAGCGCCGCGUGAGUGAUGAAGGUCUUCCGAUCGUAAAACUCUGUUAUUAGGGAAGAACAUAUGUGUAAGUAACUGUGCACAUCUUGACGGUACCUAAUCAGAAAGCCACGGCUAACUACGUG